UACGAAGGGGGCGAGCGUUGUUCGGAUUUACUGGGCGUAAAGGGCGCGCAGGCGGCUCAUUUUGUCAGGCGUGAAAGCCCCGGGCUUAACCUGGGAACUGCGUUUGAUACGGACGGGCUAGAGUUCGGGAGAGGAGAGUGGAAUUCCCAGUGUAGAGGUGAAAUUCGUAGAUAUUGGGAAGAACACCGGUGGCGAAGGCGGCUCUCUGGACCGAGACUGACGCUGAGGCGCGAAAGCGUGGGGAGCAAACAGG
rnacentral:rRNA from 1 species